GAUGAACGCUGGCGGCGUGCUUAACACAUGCAAGUCGGACGGACACAUCUUUCGGGGUGUGUUAGUGGCAGACGGGUGCGUAACACGUAGGUAACCUGCCCUGGAGUGGGGAAUAAUUCCGCUAACGCGGGACUAAUACCGCAUAGGCUCGGUAGCGUGAGGCUACGGAGUAAAGCUGUGAGGCGCUUCAGGAUGGGCCUGCGGCGGAUUAGGUAGUUGGUGGGGUAACGGCCUACCAAGCCGAUGAUCCGUAGGGGGCGUGAGAGCGUGGCCCCCCACACUGGCACUGAGAUACGGGCCAGACUCCUACGGGAGGCAGCAGUGAGGAAUAUUGGUCAAUGGGCGCAAGCCUGAACCAGCCAUCCCGCGUGCAGGAAGACGGCGCUAUGCGUUGUAAACUGCUUUUCCAGGGGGAGAAACUUGCGUACGUGAUACGCAAUUGACGGUACCCUGGGAAUAAGCAUCGGCUAACUCCGUGCCAGCAGCCGCGGUAAUCU
rnacentral:rRNA from 1 species